AUUGAACGCUGGCGGCAGGCUUAACACAUGCAAGUCGAGCGGGGUGAUGUAGCUUGCUACAUUACCUAGCGGCGGACGGGUGAGUAAUGCUUAGGAAUCUGCCUAUUAGUGGGGGACAACAUUCCGAAAGGAAUGCUAAUACCGCAUACGCCCUACGGGGGAAAGCAGGGGAUCUUCGGACCUUGCGCUAAUAGAUGAGCCUAAGUCAGAUUAGCUAGUUGGUGGGGUAAAGGCCUACCAAGGCGACGAUCUGUAGCGGGUCUGAGAGGAUGAUCCGCCACACUGGGACUGAGACACGGCCCAGACUCCUACGGGAGGCAGCAGUGGGGAAUAUUGGACCAAUGGGCGCAAGCCUGAUCCAGCCAUGCCGCGUGUGUGAAGAAGGCCUUUUGGUUGUAAAGCACUUUAAGCGAGGAGGAGGCUACUUGGAUUAAUACUCUAGGAUAGUGGACGUUACUCGCAGAAUAAGCACCGGCUAACU
rnacentral:rRNA from 1 species